rfam:Geobacillus sp. B4113_201601 NODE_242, whole genome shotgun sequence.
GGACCUUUAGCUCAGCUGGUUAGAGCAGACGGCUCAUAACCGUCCGGUCGUAGGUUCGAAUCCUACAAGGUCCA